GACCUGAGAGGGUGAUCGGCCACACUGGGACUGAGACACGGCCCAGACUCCUACGGGAGGCAGCAGUAGGGAAUCUUCCGCAAUGGACGAAAGUCUGACGGAGCAACGCCGCGUGAGUGAUGAAGGCUUUCGGGUCGUAAAACUCUGUUGUUAGGGAAGAACAAGUGCUAGUUGAAUAAGCUGGCACCUUGACGGUACCUAACCAGAAAGCCACGGCUAACUACGUGCCAGCAGCCGCGGUAAUACGUAGGUGGCAAGCGUUAUCCGGAAUUAUUGGGCGUAAAGCGCGCGCAGGUGUUUUCUUAAUUCUGAUGUGAAAGCCCACGGCUCAACCGUGGAGGGUCAUUGGAAACU
rnacentral:rRNA from 1 species